AGGGGGCUAGCGUUGUUCGGAAUCACUGGGCGUAAAGCGUAUGUAGGCGGAUCAAAAAGUUAGAUGUGAAAUCCCUGGGCUCAACCCCAGGAACUGCAUUUAAAACUAGUGAUCUAGAAUUUGGUAAGGGUUAGUAGAAUUUCCAGUGUAGAGGUGAAAUUCGUAGAUAUUGGAAAGAAUACCAGAAGCGAAGGCGACUAACUAGGCCAUUUUUGACGCUGAGAUACGAAAGCGUGGGUAGCAAACAGGAUUAGAUACCCUGGUAGUCCACGCAGUAAACGAUGAGUGCUAGUCGCUGGUACAAUAGUAUCAGUGUCGAAGCUAACGCAUUAAGCACUCCGCCUGGGAAGUACGGUCGCAAGAUUAAAACUCAAAUAAAUUGACGGGGGCCCGCACAAGCGGUGGAGCAUGUGGUUUAAUUCGAAGCAACGCGAAGAACCUUACCAGACCUUGACAUGGUAUGUUUGAAUUACAGAAUCGUAAUUCUUCAGUUCGGCUGGCAUACACACAGGUGCUGCAUGGCUGUCGUCAGCUCGUGUCGUGAGAUGUUGGGUUAAGUCCCGCAACGAGCGCAACCCUCAUUUUUAGUUGCCAUCAGGUAAUGCUGGGCACUCUAGAAAAACUGCCGGUGAUAAGCUGGAGGAAGGCGGGGAUGACGUCAAGUCCUCAUGGCCCUUACGGUCUGGGCUACACACGUGCUACAAUGGUGGUGACAGAGGGCAGCAAUAUCGCAAGAUAAAGCUAAUCCCAAAAAACCAUCUCAGUUCGGAUUGGACUCUGCAACUCGAGUCCAUGAAGUUGGAAUCGCUAGUAAUCGUAGAUCAGCGUGCUACGGUGAAUACGUUCUCGGGCCUUGUACACACCGCCCGUCACGCCAUGGGAGUUGGUUUUACCUUAAGCCGGUGCGCUAACCGCAAGGGAGCAGCCGUCCACGGUAGGGUCAG
rnacentral:rRNA from 1 species